UACGUAGGGUGCAAGCGUUAAUCGGAAUUACUGGGCGUAAAGCGUGCGCAGGCGGCUUUGCAAGACAGAUGUGAAAUCCCCGGGCUCAACCUGGGAACUGCAUUUGUGACUGCAUGGCUGGAGUGCGGCAGAGGGGGAUGGAAUUCCGCGUGUAGCAGUGAAAUGCGUAGAUAUGCGGAGGAACACCGAUGGCGAAGGCAAGCCCCUGGGCCUGCACUGACGCUCAUGCACGAAAGCGUGGGGAGCAAACAGG
rnacentral:rRNA from 1 species